rnacentral:ncRNA from 2 species
UUUUAUUCUCAGGGCGGGGCGAAAUUCCCCACCGGCGGUAAAUCUUACCUUCGCAUUAUUUUGCAUUACUUAGCUUUGCAUUACUCAGCAUUGCACGAUUGUGCGUAAGAUCAGCCCGCGAGCGCUCGAUACGUCGAGGUCAGCAGAUCUGGUGAAAACCCAGAGCCGACGGUUAAAGUCCGGAUGAGAGAGAAUGAAA